rnacentral:rRNA from 1 species
AUUCCAGCUCCAAUAGCGUAUAUUAAAGUUGUUGCAGUUAAAAAGCUCGUAGUUGGAUUUCUGGUGGGAGCGAUCGGUCUGGCGCUUAGCGCGAGUACUUGCAUCGUCUCCGGCCAUCCUUGGGGAGAGUUUGUCUGGCAUUAAGUUGUCGGGCAGAGGAUCCUCAUCGUUUACUGUGAAAAAAUUAGAGUGUUCAAAGCAGGCUUAUGCCGUUGAAUAUAUUAGCAUGGAAUAAUAAGAUAGGACUUUGGUACUAUUUUGUUGGUUUGCGCACCAAAGUAAUGAUUAAUAGGGACAGUUGGGGGUAUUCGUAUUCCGUUGUCAGAGGUGAAAUUCUUGGAUUUACGGAAGACGAACUACUGCGAAAGCAUUUACCAAGGAUGUUUUCAUUA